rnacentral:rRNA from 1 species
GUGCCAGCAGCCGCGGUAAUACAGAGGGGGCAAGCGUUGUUCGGAAUUACUGGGCGUAAAGGGCGCGUAGGUGGCCUUCUAAGUCGAACGUGAAAUCCCUGGGCUCAACCCAGGAACUGCGUCCGAUACUGGAAGGCUUGAAUCCGGGAGAGGGAUGCGGAAUUCCAGGUGUAGCGGUGAAAUGCGUAGAUAUCUGGAGGAACACCGGUGGCGAAGGCGGCAUCCUGGACCGGCAUUGACGCUGAGGCGCGAAAGCUAGGGGAGCAAACGGGAUUAGAUACCCUUGUAGUCC